rnacentral:lncRNA from 1 species
UCGGCGAGGAAAAGCAGGGAAAAAUGUUGAACCUGAGGCGAAGAUCAUUAGAGGCCCGGAAUGGCAGGCUGUUGUGAAGGCCAAGAGUAAGCAGCCUCUCGAUGGAGAGGUAGCAUCUGACUCGGAGUCGGAAGAUGGAGCUAAGGAAGCGAGUGUUACUUCGCCCAAGGAGUUUACAGGGCCGGAUAUUUUGGAAAAUUUGUGUAACAGGAGUUCGGAGUCUAAGCACAAUCAACUGGGGUCCCAGGAUGGUAACAGAUUCGUAAUCCUCGAAAAUUCCUCGAUUCAAGAGGAUUUGGUGACUAACAAGCAGGAUACCAUUCUUAAGAACACAGAGGGGGACAUCGACUUGAACACUGCUUCG